UCUGGGCUUGUUCUGUGAAUGGCAGUGCUUAUUGGGACUGGCUGGGCAUAUUGAUGGUAUGGGAGACAAGUGGCCCAAGUGUGGCUCAGUGGACCGGUGGAGUGGGCCCAGGGCAGUGUUUUUUUCAGAGUCACAAGUGACACAGAGGGAGUUGAACAGAUGGCACUCUAGGCCCCCAGCAUCUUUAUCAAUUUGAAGAGUUUCAUUAUUGUUUCCUAAUAUUUUUAGUUGAUAUAUAAUAAUUAUAUAUAUUUAUGGGGAUAUUUUGAUACAUGUACUCAAUGUGUAAUGAUCCAAUCAAGGUAAUUAGAAUAUCUACCACCUUGAACAUUUAUUGCUUCUUUGUGAUGGGAACAGAAUAGUUUUAUUUUGUUCUGUUUUAAAUAUUGGAAUUGUGCAGAAGAUUUCAUCUGAAAAGAGAGUUCCGCUGCUACCAAUAAUCAAAAGCCUACAAUUGACCUUUGAAAAGACUUGAAGCAUAGAUCUCUACAUCAUUUCCAGGUUCUGAAAUUCUGUUGUUUUACCUGAUUAAUGGAGGACUCUAUUGGCCUCAACAACCUGGGAAAAAUGGUCUGAAACCCAGAACAGGCUCUCAAAGAAGAAAAGUAGGCCCAAAUUGGAUUCUCCAGAGCAGAAAUAAAUGGUGAGAUCACAGUUUCUACCUCCCCAAAUAGGCAGCUGCCCUGCUGGCCAGCCCCACCUCAACUUUUGCUUCUGUACUUUUGUUUUUUCUUGGACUUUGUUGUCAAGAAACUAAAUGUGAUUGGUUUUUGUUCAUCCAUAAUGGAGCGAAGUUUCUUUCUUUCUUCUCCAUUUUUGCUGCUUAUUUUUGGGAUAUCCUAGGUAUUAGCUGAUCCUUGUUCUUCAUGUCAAAGUUAACAUUGCGUGCCUGGCUGAAAUUAUACUGAAGUUUGAGACAGGGCCUGAUACCUCUGUGAACUGGAACUACAGCUUUAAUUUUAUGAACUCCUUAAAGGUUUAGAGUGGUUUAAAUAAACAUUAAUAAUAAAAAUAAUAUUUUUCUAUAGACUGCAGUUUCAACUUCAAAAUAAGGAUUUCCACAGAAGGACUUUGAUUCUGAGAUGUAAUAAAAAUUACAUGUUAGACUUCGAAUGUUCUGCUGUUAUAGGGUAUAUAUCUUCUUGGCAUUUUGUCUAACAAAUAUUUUAAGACAUUCAUUCAUGUAUUCUUUUACUUAUUCAUGGAUUCAUCAACAAUACAAAGGGGAAGGGGAGGGGGAAAGGAAAGGCCCUUUGUUGAAGCCUGAGUUGCAGGCAGCGUGCCAGGCCCAUACACUUCCUCCUGCAUCUGGAAUUUGUUGAGUCUCUUCCCAGUUAUUGAAUGGAUCAGAUUAUUUCAAAUGGUUUUCUUUUACAAAUAACAUUGCUGACAAGCAGGGUUUUUGUGCAGAUAACUUAGGUGACCACUGUUGACAUUCAACAGGGAAAUAUCCUCAGAAGUGAGGCUAGAAGACACGAGUAAGAGACAUUUUAUGAUUUUUUUUUUUUUUUUUUGUCCGUAGCAAGAUUUUCUAUCAGAGAGAG